CUGGCGGCGUGCCUAACACAUGCAAGUCGAACGGACUUACAGUUGAAGCCUAGCGAUAUGUAAGUUAGUGGCGGACGGGUGAGUAACGCGUGGGUAACCUGCCUUGGUACUGGGGGGACAACAGUUGGAAACGACUGCUAAUACCGCAUAAGCGCACAGCUUCGCAUGAAGCAGUGUGAAAAACUCCGGUGGUACAAGAUGGACCCGCGUCUGAUUAGCUGGUUGGUGAGGUAACGGCCCACCAAGGCGACGAUCAGUAGCCGGCCUGAGAGGGUGAACGGCCACAUUGGGACUGAGACACGGCCCAAACUCCUACGGGAGGCAGCAGUGGGGAAUAUUGCACAAUGGGGGAAACCCUGAUGCAGCGACGCCGCGUGAGCGAAGAAGUAUUUCGGUAUGUAAAGCUCUAUCAGCAGGGAAGAAGAAAUGACGGUACCUGACUAAGAAGCACCGGCUAAAUACGUG
rnacentral:rRNA from 1 species